CUAAAUUUACGGGACUAGUGUGGUUUUCUGCAUACACAAUGCCUUGUCUCAGUCCAGUGUAUGUAAACAGGACGUGAACCACCUAAAUGCCCUUGCUACUUCGACUCUGUCUGGUGACCCGAAAGAGUAUGUAACAGGCCUUGUUUCAUAUUAAUGAAGAUUAUAGAUGCAAAAACUGGAAAGGAGAAACAUGUUACAAUUUCUGUUGAUGGUGGAACUCGACCGAACACAUCAUUGUCUGAUUUAGCAAAGCUCAAACAUGCAUUUAAGGAGGGUGGAUUUCAACAGAUUGUUGAGGCCCAUGAUUUCAACAGUCUGAUUCAAGUAACCAAUUUUCCACACACAUUGCCAGAGAAUCAAAGUUCUUCUCCAAUUAGUUAUUGAAGUUGACCCUUUUUUUUCCCCAUUUUGUAAUUUAUUAGAAGAUUGUGCUAAAAGUUGUACCAUCUUUUUUCCUGUCUGACAGAGCUCACAGUCGUGGCGGAAGGCAAUAAAUUACAGGUGUUGAUGGGAUUCAUCUGCUAGAUUGUGAGCAAUCAGAGUCAUCACCCACAUAUAGGUAAAUAUAGAAGGACCACUUUUGUUUCUUCUCCAAAGAGAUUAUUUUCGUGAUAUUUUUGUAGUUGUAUGGUUACAUAUUUACAGUUAAUAGAUUAGCAAGAGGCCACAACAACCUUAACAGGUUUGGAUCCAUGGUUUGCCGCAAACAACAGGGAAUUUCUUCUUAAGAAUUUCUUAGUGAUACAGCAAACAGGAAAAGGGUUGAAAUUUGAUAUCUCAGCCACUCAAAAUUAAGAGUUAUUUUAGCAGCAUGGAGUAUUUUACUCGAUGUCAAAAGCUAUGUCAAAUAGAAACCAGGAGAAUGGUUAUUGUGAUGGGGAUAAUAACAUCUGCAGCAGAAUGCCUUAUGAUUCCUUCUGAAGGUAUUAAAAGACUUGGAGAAGAAAUGAGGCCUGUAAAAUUGACCCAUCUCUGAAUACAAUUGCCGCAACAUUCUGUGAUCAGGUACAUGACACUCCCAUCCCAAAUGUGAACCAUUGAAACUUGUUUCACGGAUCACUUUCACUUUCAAUGUGCUUGUCCACAUUAGUAAGGGCCACUAGCUGAACUGUCUGAUUCAUUUUUCACUGAUAUUGCCAACUGUACAUUGGAGCAGUGAUGAACUGAGAUCAGUUCAUUGCUGUAGAAUUAUAAAAGGGCCUCUUGCAUGUGUAGACAUGUAGAUGAUCAGAUGUAGUCUUGGGUAACUUGGAGAAAAAAGAUUCAUAGAUUCGAAAACAGAUUUUUUUUUUUUUUUUUUCCAUUCAAAUUUCCUGAUGCAUCAAGACACCUAUAAUUCCAACACCCAAUGAAUAGAUUGCAUCCAGAAGUUUAUAGACUGAAAGGUUCAGAUUGUUUGAUCAUAAGCCCAUCAAAUAUGGACGAUAUCAUGAAUAGCAGAGAGUUCACAUACACCUGAGCUUUGGUGUACAUAGGAUCAUUUUCUCAGAUACUUUAGUUGAGCAUUCUAUAAUAUUUUA